UCAAAUCCUAUUAGGGUUUCAUUGAUUCAAAGUUCAAACUUUCAAUUCCAGCUGUGCAGCCGCAUCCCACGACGAUGACGAUUCCCACUGUCACUGCCAUAGCCGACUGCCACCCAUGGCCACGAGCCACGAUUCCCUCGCCCAGUCUUCCCUCGCAGCCUCGCCCAGUCACUCGCCCAUUCGGCGCUCGCCAGCUAUCAUGAAAUUGCUGGUAUUUUCCUUCACGCAGUAGUGGUUUAUUUAGUCUGCCCGCUUACCUUCCCAGUUCUUGCCGCCCCUCCAAAAUAAUUUCCAAUCUCCUUUCUCCAAGUGAAAAUCCAAAUAUCUGCAGCAGCGGUGCUUCUUUCCUAAUUUUUGUUCGAUCUCCAGGCCCUUGCUUUCAAGCCCUCUGUAGGAUGAGGUGUGGGCGAGCUAUUGAUAAGCUACAAAAUAUGAAAGGUUGUAGAAUUUUGAUUGGAUACUCAUUGCAGAGUAUACACCCAGCAAAACCCUCACCAAACACCUAUUCAUCCUUUCCAUUUUUCUUACCUAAUCCCUCCUUAAAAGCAUUGCAAAUUGUAGUUCCAAGUGUAAUCCAUCUUUGCAGGAUCAAGUUAGCAUGUACAAAUGACAAAUACAUGAAGGUACUAGAUCAAAGGCAAAGAUUGGAUCGAGUAGUCGUUCAAGUACUAGCAAAGAUCAAGAUGGACAUUCACUCGGAAGAACUCAAGCACAUCCAACAAAGUCACAGAGUAAUAGGGAGUGUUUGAGGUAGGAACUAUUGUAACUCUUGCAGUUUUGUUUCACGCAUGUUUACUGAGCAAGAGUUAAGCAAAUGCAUGUGCAUAUUAGUUCAUAAGAGUAUAUAGGAUAUCACCAAAUCAUAAGUUCAGAACUUAUGAGUUUUCAAAGUAAAAACAAGACUUUUAUAAAAAUAUCCUUUACUCAAAUGUAUUUUUAUAUGAGACAAGUUUUAAAUCAUAGUAGUGUUAUAAUCUUUUAAAACAACUUGGUCCUGAUUAGGUUUAAAACCUCAAUUAUACACCUCUCAAAUUUCCUAAACACCUUUUAGUAUUUGGAGCAUAACUUUUUCUAGAAAAAUUUACAAAUGACGAUCUUGGUAACUAUGGAAAGUUAAGAAAAAAUAUCACAACUUUCAUGUUUGAGACUUUCACUGAUUUGGGCAAUCAGUCGACGAUUUGGGGCAAAUCAUCCACGAUUUUAGGCAAAAUGUGGCCUAGAUGAAACAGUUGACUAAUUGGGGUAAACAAUCGACUAAUUGGGUCAAAUAGUUGACGAUUUGCGUUGGGAUUAAGUCCGCAACGACUAUAAAUGGCUAGUUUUCAAAGGAAAUAAUUAUUUUACAUACUUAACGGCCAUACAAUGGCUAGUACUCCAUUUUACCUAUAAAUACAAGUCCAAGGACUUGUUUUAAACAUUGAUUUGGUAGUUCAUAUAUCAUUCCCAAGCACACCACAUUUUAGUUCAUAGUUCAAGUGCUCAACUUCUCUCUUGCUCCUAAACUUUGUUGUGAAUCAUUACUUUGAGAGUGUUGUAUGAGGUUUUGGUUGUAUUUAAUUUUCAGCUCAUUCAAGGAGCAGUUGUUUUGUAUUCCAUCUUCAAAUUGUAAAAAAUUCUUGAUGGACUGGAUCGCAAAGGGUUCUUGGUGAACUGUGGUUGAAGGUUCUUGGUGAACCGAAGUGCAAGGAUUUUUGGUGAACCUUGAGGCUCUUGAUGAGCGAAGGGGAUUUGUUCCCGGUUAUAAAGGUUUCUCUGCUAGUGGAGGAGUUCAUAGUGGAUUGUGAAAUCUUUGAGUGUGUCUUAAGGCAUGGACGUAAGCAAGAGGCUGAACCACGUUAAACAUUGGUGUAACUUUUCUUCCCUUCUCGUUAAUUUAUAUCUUGUGUAUGAUUUACUUUGAUUA